UACGAAGGGGGCUAGCGUUGUUCGGAUUUACUGGGCGUAAAGCGCGUGCAGGCGGCCUUGCAAGUCGGACGUGAAAUCCCACGGCUCAACCGUGGAAGGGCAUUCGAAACUGCGAGGCUGGAGUCCUGGAGAGGAAAGUGGAAUACUCGGUGUAGAGGUGAAAUUCGUAGAUAUCGAGUGGAACACCGGUGGCGAAGGCGGCUUUCUGGACAGGUACUGACGCUGAGACGCGAAAGCGUGGGGAGCAAACAGG
rnacentral:rRNA from 1 species